GCCGAAGUGGUGGAAUGGCAGACACAGCAGACUCAAAAUCUGCCGGGAGCGAUCUCGUACGGGUUCAAGUCCCGUCUUCGGCACCA
rnacentral:tRNA from 2 species